GAGUGCCAAACACCAAAAAAAAUUUAAAAACAAAAAAAAGGAAGGAUAGUGAGGAAGCUGUUUGAUUAGGGUUUCGGGGGUAUGAAAGCUGAAUCGCCCAUCAGUUGUGGUCAAUCUGGAAAGACAAUCACGAACCCUAGUUCUUUUGCUGAGUCUAUGGAAGCUUUUAGAAAGAAACUCAACAUGAGGAAAGCCACUGUUUCAGGUGUGAAUCAUGAAGACUUAACCCCUUUCUUUUAAAAGGAAAUUUCGACUCCGGCAGCUGCACUAAACUUGUUAAAAUCGAGAUGGUCCGAUAAAGAGGGUAGUGAGGAAACUGUUAUCAACCGAUUUAGGGAUUUACCUGAUAGCUUGAUUAUAGCUAGGGCUAGGAAUAUGGUUUCCAAUCUGGAUGAAUAAGAGAUUGUAUAUGAGGACAUAACGUCUCAGAAGCUUUCAGAUCUUGAAAUGGGCAUGGAUAGGGUGAGCCCUAAGGCAAGGAGUUCGAGUCAUCGAGAAGAUCUGGGGAUAAGAAAUGUUUUCGCUCAGAUGGGUGGACGUAUUGGUCUACAACAGGGGAUACGAGGUGGAAGGGGUGGAAGAGGUGUUAGGCAACAAACUGGGUUCUUGGUAAAUCAAAGCGAGCAAGGGAAGGGUAAUGAUGCUGCCAACUCUAUCCCAGUGGCGAACCCAGUUGUGCUGGAGAAGAAGACCUGGGCCUCGGUGGUAGCUACAAAUCAGAGAUCUGCUGUGAAACAAAGAUUAUUUCUGUGGCUACAAUUCCACAAUUCAUGCGUCAAUCAUUGAACGAUAAUACUACAGCUGACAAAAGUGACUAUCUUUGGUAUUCACUAAGCACUAACAUUCAAGGUAGGUCCCAAACAGUUCUUCAUGUGGAAUCACUUGGCCAUGCCCUUCAUGCUUUUAUUGGAAUCACUUGGCCAUGCCCAUUUUGCAAUUCAUAUUUUCUUGGAUUGUAACUACUUUUUUUUUUCAAUCAGUUACUUCAGCAAGCAGGAGAGAGAAUGCCAAUUUGGGAUUGAUAUAAAAAGGGCACAAGGGUGAGAAGUCAAACGAAUGUUGGAGGAUGAGAACUGCCUCUUUCGUGCUGUUGCAGAUCAGCUAUAUGGGGACUUUGAUACAUAUGACUUGGUUAGACAAACGUGCAUGGAUUAUAAAUUUAUAUGGUGUCACUAUUCUUAUGUGACUUCCUAUCCUUAGAAGCUAAAGUGUAUAUCUUUCAUUUUUAUGUGUGUAGACACCCUAUUUUUGACCGCCCUUAAAACUUGGGCGCUUUAUUCCGAACACCCGAUGAUGAAAAUUACAUUGUGCAAUCAUUUAAAUUCUCAGCGAAGAAAUUUGGGUUCAAGCUCUAAUUCCAAAGCUUGCACCCCAUUUUAGCCAAACUAUUUUAGACUUAGAAACCCUCUUUUCAAAAUAUUUUUCCAAAUGCUUCUAUGAUGUCUGAGGCUCGCAUUUUGUUUAAAAACAUUGCACUUUUAGGUAAACUGAGUAGGGACAAAGUGGAAAUGAAUGGAAGAGAAGUGAACUCUUUAAAAAAUCUUUUAAAACUUCUUAUUUAUAGGUUUGGAGUUAAAGAAAAUAGAAGGGGUUGGAAGAAAACCAGUUAAGAAAGGUGAGCAUCAAACCAUUGAGAAAGAACUGAGCAACCUUCACAAACCAGGCCUAUCUCUUUGCACACUUAGACUUUAGUUAUAAGGCCACCACCAUUGGAAAGUAGACUUCCAAGGUUUCAAUUUAGACUCAAGAAUCAGCUAAAAUCGAGUCCGGAUGAGGGAGAUAUGCUCGUUUGAAGUCGGGCCUGAAGUGCAGUCAUUGAGACCCGGCCAGGUCUACGUAGACCCGGCCAGGUCUAUGUAGAACCGGCCGAGCUUUAGUGAAAAUUUUUCUAGAGCUCUUUUUUGGGCUGACCAUGCAUUAUUGAGGCCCGACCGUGGGUUUUGAGGGCCGGCCGGGCCUCGAUGGCGCCAAACAGACAACUGGCGGGAAUUAACAAAUAUCUUUGUUUGAAGAUAUUUUUUGGACCAAAUUAGCUCAAAUUCUAUAAAUAGGACCUCCCACUUCAGAUUUUAAGGUUAGAAAAAACUUUCCAAGAGGCUUAGAUAUUGAUGAGCCAUCCUUGAACCUCCUUGAACCUUCAAGCCUCUUUUCUUCUCCAAAUCAACUUUCACCCUCCAUACACCAUUAAAGCUUGGAUUUGAAGCUUUCUUGUAGAGAAUUUACAACAUAUUUUCAUAGCCUAGAGGGUUAGGAAAUAUUUCCAAAAGCUUUGAAGGUUUUUGAGAGCUAAGAACAUCCAUCUCCCUUCCAAACUUCAUAUCACCUUUUAACUAUACAUACACAAUACAUACACCAUUGGAGCUUGUUUUUGAAGUUUUUUUGAGAUUUUAAAAAAGUUUCAUAAACUUAAGGGUGUUGGAAUUGAGUUUAUUAACUAAGAGCUUACCUCUCUUUCAAAGGUGUAAUUUUGCACUUUCUUCUUUCAUCUUCUUCUACUCCUUUCCACUAUUUUUCUCGUCUUUAUAUACUGAUUUUCAGAGUUUGUAAAGGCUGAAAAACAUGAUUUAAAAGUCUGAAAAGUUUAGGGGUUAGCCACCUUUCCUUGAUUUUGCUUACUAGCUUUAUAUCUCUUGCGUUUGCUUAUUUUUUUGUGCUCUUCAAACACAUUUUUAGCCACUGUUUUUGGGCUGUUUUUGGACUGUAUUUGGACUGUUUUGAGGCUGAAACAUGUGAUUUAAAAUUGCAAAAAGUGAGGGGUUAGCCACCCCUCCUUAGGCUUUGUUCCAUGACUUUUUCUCUACUCUUUUUACUUACUUUCUCUUGGUCUUAACUACUGUUUUUUUGCACUUUAGGGGCUGUUUUAGGGCUGUCCUAAUUUAUUUAAUUACUUCAAGUUUUGAUUAGUUCAUUUGUUGUCUCCUAAGUUUACUUGUAUAGCUUGUUGCAUGUUGUUCUAACUCUUCUUCAACUCAUUUCUAUGUUUAAUAACCUCAUUAAAAUAAUCAACUUGCCACUCCUUUAUUAUUUCAUUUGAGAGUUGUUUCAAGUGUUGAUGGUUAUUCAAUACAUGAACUAGAGUGUUGCGCUUAAUGGUUUAAUCUCUAAGGAGAUUCAUUGUCAAUGGUGUAAUCUCUCUUUCAUGUUGAGAAUUACUUCCCAUUUGACGAUUCUCUCCUUUUAGAGGACUUAACCACCAUGGACAAAUGGACUAAUGAAUGACAAUGACUAAACAAAUUGGUUUAAAAUUGGAUCAACGCACAUAAAGAAAAUGGCUGGAAUUGCUUGAACUUGGCUGAACAUUAUGCCAAGUUUCUUGUGUCAAGAGUUGUCACAUGCUAAUUCAUGACAUUUUGAUGAUUCUUGAAGCAUCGCAACCUCCCUCUUUGAGUUUAUUCCAUGACAAGAGAGAGGGGUGGUCUCAUUCGUUGCAUUUCAUUGAUUUUUGUCCAAGAUUGCAUCCAAGACCAUCAAGCAAAUCAAGCAAUCAAUUUGCUUAUUGAUGGCUUUGGAAUCAAUUUCAACCUUCUCUCGAGGCUUUCCCAUGACAGAGGAGGAAGAAAGGGACAAACAGAGCUUGAGGACACUCUGUCUGCACUGAUUCACCUCAGAACACAAAAAGAGUUUUGCACCAAAUUGAUACAAGGCCAGCCAUCUGUAGGCCCGGCCGGUCAUCAGUGAUGCACGACCAGCCCUCAGUGUGUGGCCAACAGUGCAGUUUUGCAGGAAACAAAGGCAAUGGCUGAAGGUGAAACAAAGGCGGCAUGGGCAGACAGAGUAGCUCUCAGGCGUUGUGCAUGCAACCUUCAUCCAUUUUCACUUACGCAUUUUGUCGAAUGUAAUUAAUCUUAUUGUAAUUAAUUCGUUGUAGCUAGUUAAUUUUGUAAAGUGUUGUAAUUAAUUAGUUAGUUAAUUAUUUAUUCAAAUUUCGUUUUGUAAUUAAUUAGUUAGUUAAUUAUUUAUUCAAAUUUCGUUUUA